rnacentral:lncRNA from 1 species
ACCAAGCAGUCCACGGUGUGAACCAGUGUGGAGUGGAAUGGUGCCUCGCAAAAGGAGGAAUUUAAGCAGUUUUGGCCUAGUCAUCGGGGCCUGAAGAGGAAGCACAGCGGCCCCGAGAAUCACUGGGUGAGUUCUCCACCAGGCGCGCCUUUUCUCAACUUUCUUCGAUUUGUGAUCCGAGUUUGAUUGUUUGCUUUCUCAGUGGAAGAGCAUGGGGGUUCAUGCCUUCUGGGUAAAUGUCCUACAACUGAAGUAUUAUAAUCCCAAUUUUGUACUAUUAUUAUUAUUAUGUAAGUACACUGUUUCUGUCUUCAGACACUCCAGAAGAGGGCAUCAGAUUUCGUUACAGAUGGUUGUGAGCCACCAUAUGGUUGCUGGAAUUUGAACUCAGGACCUUCGGAAGAGCAGUCUGCGCUUUUAAUCACUGAGCCAUCUCGCCAGCCCCAGCAUUGAGGUUUUUGUUGUUGUUGUUGUUUGUUUGUUUUGUUUUUUCAGGGUUUCUUUGUAUAGCCCUGGCUGUCCUGGAACUCACUUUGUAGAUCAGGCUGCCCUCGAACUCAGAAAUUGGCCUGCCUCUGCCUGGGAUUAAAGGCAUGUGCCACCAUGCCUGACUAUAAUCCCAAAUUUUAAGACAUGUUAAAAUCUCGACUGUGGCUGAUUGAGGGAAAGUCCUAACCACAGCCCACAAUCCCUUGCCUAAAACACCCAGUCUGCAACGCUGGAGAGGGUCUGUGCCCUGCCCCCAAUUCCCCUUGCAGUUCCAAGACAGCCAGGACUACAUGGAGAAACCCUGCCUU